GGCUGUUAUUCAUUUUAUCGACACACAGUAUUUUAAGUGAGCCUCCCAGGUCGUGGGAUUGGGAAGCGGCCCUCCUGAUUGUCCCGAAUGAAACCUUGAACUGAAAAUAGGGAGCGUGGGAGUUUGGGCUUUUCCAGUAGUUUCUGAGCUCUGGACUCCGGGAUGGGGAAUGAGUUCCCGGCUCGCCUCCGCCCCCUGCCUCCAGUGGGCCCAGAAGACCGCUUCCCCUUUCUGCUCCUCAAAUAAGCCUCGGCCUGGCCUCCCUGCUCGGCUUUACCCUCGCGGCCAGCGGGCCGGUGAAUGAGUGCCAGUCUCCUGCUUGGACACAGUGAAUGUCCUUAAGCCUCAACAAAAUGACUAACGCGUCUUUAAAGUUUCUCUUAGAAGGGUCACCACAUUCUGAGGAAGUUCAAAGAAUAUAAAAUCGAACGUUCGGGGAGGAAAUCGGCUACAUUUUGCUCUGGUGUUUUCAGGCUGGCGAUGGGCAUUUAGUGCAUUAAUUACGCAAGACCCGCUACAUUUUAAAAGUAAUUUGAAGAUUUGGGGAAGAGAUCCAAAGUGUUGCGAGACCGACGGCCUUUCAUGUUGAAUCAAGAUGCCUUCCACUCACAGAAGUGCUUCUGACCUAAGUGGAAAUUGAAUUCAGGCCCAGCAGCAGGUAAGAGUGCCUGGUCCGGGGCGUGGGGAGUCUUAGGGGGUUCUUUCUCCAGGGGUUUUGAAAGCAAAGUUGCCCUUCGGAGAGCACGACGCGGUGAACGCUGAUGUGACAGACCGAGCCCGGGAGGCCACAUCACAAACACACGCCGGCCAGAAAUCCUUAUUAAUGUCACUGAGAUCACUUCAAAUUUAUGGUAUCGACAGCGAUGCGAAUAAUGAUCGCACAAGGGCCGUAAUGACAGGACCCGGCAAAGAGGGUCUGUUUUCUUCAUCUGGAUUUUUAUUUUCUGUAAUACGUGAGAAAACCGAAUCGAGGGAUGGGCUUUCGUGGUUGCCAGGAAACAGGUGUUUACGUUGUGAAGAUAAGUGUUUGUCAAAUAUCAGUCAUUUCAACCACCCUUUGGGCAUCUUCUGCUCCGCAGAGGUGCCCGCUGAUAAUGGCCGGCACUGGUAUUAUGAUCUGCCAGCAACAUCACCCAGAGAAGUUUCUGGCGAGGGUUCCUUUCUGUCGCAUAUAGAUGUCCAGGCCUCUGUCAACUCUGCACCAGCCAAAGCCCUGAAACGAUUUGGGGGAAGUCAAUAUUCCAAGAAAGGCUUUUCCUCAGAAGAAAACCCGGUUUCACACCUGGGUUGAGGAUCUCUGUCAGGACGAGCCCUCUCGGUCUUUCCACCGAGAGGGAGCCACUUGCCAGAAAAAGCGAAUUAACUGCGUUAAGCUUCGAAGAGGAAAAUUAAGCUGGCUUUAGCAUUUUUUCAACCUGUUUUCUGUUACCUGGUAACACCUUUUAAGGGAAGUUAAAAACACUGUAGUUCUUCAAAACCUAAGUGGAAAAUUGGGGUAGAAACUAUCUUCAGCCAUGGAACAACUGCUGUCUCAGAAAGUCUCUAACGCCCAUAAUUCUAUUGAAUAAAUGCCAAGAAACACCCAGCAAUUGUCAAGAUUAACUGGUAAAUCAAUCCUGUUUUGAAAAAUCACUGAAACGCCUGAUGCCAGGCAUCUGACCCUCUCCUACCCAACGUGUUGCUGAUGUGGGGUUGUCCACACGGCCUUGGGGUCCCCAAACCUUAAGUCAAAUAGGACUACAAGCUGAUUAGCGCCCAGCAGGAUGCACACCAGUGACAGGAAAGUGACAAUCUGCACAGAAUUCACUUACGCUUCGCGAGAACAGAGACUGAGAGGCGUGCCCUGACCACUGGGCAGGAAAGACAGGGAUCAUGUCCCCACUAGCCUCAGAUGUCAACUACGAUCAGCUUCUAGUUUCUAAAGUAACAAAAUAAAUGAUUAAUUAACACUUAGACGUCACCAUGUACUUUUUGCAUUUAGAAGUCUGCGUAGCUGGCCGAUCCGAAACACCGUUAAGGACAUCUUUCAAUGGCAAUGUCCAGGUACCGCCUUCUCAAAUAUUUAUCGUCUUCCAAGCUUUUCAUGUCCCUUAGAGACUGGUCAGCGGUCCUUUAACCAGCAUCAAAUACAUCAUGAGAAAAGAAACAAAAACAAAAGACACAAAUGAGACCGAGAAAAGCAGAACUUAGAAGCUGUCUGUCUGUCUGAUUCUCGGACGGUUGCCUAGGCAGUUUUAUUAUUUUAGAAACCAUACGAAAGAACUGUGUAUUAGUUAACUUAUUCAUUCUGGAGAGAAACGGCCCCAGCCAGUGGCUGUCUCACGGCGUCAGGGAAGGCCGGGUCAUCAUUCCCCCGCACAGGACGGCGGGGAGCAGGCUGUCCGCGCAGAGCCAGGGGCUUCUCCUGGGGUCCUCACUGGUGGGUUCUCGGUGCCUCUCUCGGCUGCUUUAUUCACCAAGAAGAGCGCGAUGUGGGGUCGAGGCAGUGACGUUGUCCCAGUAGGAGCACGAAACCUUCCACAUUUCCACCGCCCAGAGCUCCGCGUGGGCUGGCUCCGAGCCGAAAGCCGAGUGGCCCCGCAGGGUGACGUGUCUGCGGAGGGACAGCGCGCCUGCCCCCGGAGUGCGUGCGUGCACCUGCAGCCUCACUGCGGGCAGCGACGGGGAGCCCUGCCCCGCCCGGCACCCUGGCACCAGGAUCGUGUGUUCGGCUGGAGUCCUAACCUUACCUAGCCGGACUUUCCCCGGGCCCGGCUGCCCGCUGCAUCACCAUAGCAAUGGACAAACACGGUGAGAGUCGCAGGGCCCCGAAGCUGCGGAAACCCUGCCCUCCUGGCCGCCCCGCGGGAGGGGCCGGGCUAAUUUCCAUGCGGCGUUUGGGGAUGUUGGGAUUCAGAGAUCAAAGAAGGUCAAAAGGGGGCCGUUGGAAUGGCAGAUAUUUAUUGUGUUUAAUAUAAAUACAAACGUGUCCAAGAAGAGAGACCGAAACCUUAACAGGCCUGUGGAUGGCGUUUGGUAAAUAGAAAAGAACACAUCUUGAAAGCAGGCGGCUGGUGAAAUUGACUGGCACUGCAGAAGCUGUCGUGAUUUAAACUGGGACAAAUUAAGACAGCAACAAUCUUCACCGACAUCGAACAUACAAAUUAGUUGAAAACCUUGAGGAAGACGUCUAGCUGCACUUUAGAAACGCUUUGGGAAACCUUCUGGCCACAAAUGCAAACACAGCCCAGCGCACUUUAGAAAUUUCUGGUCACCCUCCUUAGCUGCGCUCGUAUUAUUAAGAGUGUUUGUUUCAUACCAUUAACUGUGCAGUCAAGUUGGAGCCCGUUAAACAGCAUUAAUUUGACAAAUUGUGGGAUGGGGGUGUGAGUGCCGGCUGGAGAAAGGGGCUUUGUGUUUCGGGGUCUCCAUUAGUGAAACAAUAAAUAAGGCUAUGGUAAAACUGAUAUGAUGGGAAAUGACUUCUAUUCAGUUAACUCAAUUAUUAGUGCUAAUUGGGGCCAGGUGAAGCAUGGAUAAUUGAAAUUCACAGAUAAUCCAAAAACCUCUAUUUAACCAAUAACUUCAAACUUCUUCCCCAUCAAACCAAUUACCAGAGGAGCUAACAAAUAGAAAAAAUGGAUUAAAUUGAAUUUUGCCUCCCCAAAGAUUACCACUAUGAUGUCUUUCUAUUGAUUAAUCCACAACAAGAGCCAAGGGUUGACUGCAUUCAAGAGACUAAAUUACAGACAGUCCCCAACAACUGAAAAGGAAAAGGCUACGUCCCAAAGUUGAUGACUCCACUACCUGAAGCUCAGAAUGCUUUUUCGCAGAGCACCAUAUUCCUCAGGGGCUCUGAGGCAGCCCCGAGGGGCCAACUGGUGACCUAGUGACACUGGAAAUAUAUUUAGCAUCCUAACUCCUUUAAUGAAUCCCCUCUGAAUCCUAAAGCCUUAUCCUCCAGCCCCUAAAUCUCUCUGAGCCCUAAAUCUAAGGGUUUUUUUUAGUUGAGGUAAAAUCACAUAAGGUUAACCAUUGUGAGUUGAGUGUGCAUGUCAGUGACAUCUAGAACAUUCACGAGGCUGUGCGAUCACCCGCCUCUAUCAACUGUCUCAACAUUUUCAUCGCCCCUGAGAGAAACCCCUUUGGGACCCUCAGCAGCCACUGCCCGUUGUCCCCUCCCCCCAGCCCCUGGCGAACGCAGAUCGACUCACUAGAGCUAUGGGUUCCCCUGUUCUGGACAUUCCAUGUCAACGGAAUCAUGCAACAUGUGGUCUUUUGUGUCUGGCUUCUUUCACUGACAUAAUCUAUUUAAGGUUCAUCCGUGUGAUUGCAUGUGUGAGGACGUCCUUCCCUUUUAUUGCCAAAUGACUCUCCGUGGUCUGGACGGACCACACGUUCUUGACCCACCUGUCAGCUGAUGGACGCUUGGGUUGUCUCUAUCUCGCGGCCACGUGCAACCGUCACCCCUAAGGUUGCACCCUGACAUGCCCUGCCCUCGGAGGAAAUGGGAAGUGGAGGGGGAAGGGUGGACAGGAGCUUGGGAAGCAGGGGGGGCCCCUGUGGCAGAGCGUGGGGAGGCUCCUCCCGUGCGCCGGGCCGCGGCACUCCCAGGCGCUGGCAUCUGGGGCGGGCAGCGUCCCUCCCACAGGGCUGCCGUCGGCAGGGACAUUCCACUAGAAGCAUCGACAGUGAGGGAUAAUUCGAGACAGCGUCAACCAUGGUGGAGAACACAGGGAGACAUGGAACCCGUCAGAGAGGGGCACGAGGGAGGCCGGAGGAGGCCCGCUGGGGGCAGGUACCUCCUUCAGAUUCGGGUGUCGCUGUUUCCCAAGACGGAGAGCAGAACUGGACUGACCCAGCGAGAAAUCUGGCAAGUGUCGUUGGCCUGUUCUCCACUUUUCUGAAAACACAGGCGCCAGGAGAGGUUUCCAUAGCAGCUUCCAAAUUGGACACAAAACUUCACUCAGCAGGACAUUGAUAGUUUUCCAUUUCUCCUUUUCCAUGUUCCGUCACUUUUCUUGGCGUUCUGCAGUUGGCGUCCUGUGACUUGGCGUCCUGUACCUUGUAAAAGGUACAGAUGGCGGCCGCCAUGCUUGCGGGCGCUGAAGGACCCGGUCAAGGUAAGGACGGCCCCUGCUGGGUCUGCUCAGUCCCAGCCAGGCUGCAGGAGGAGUCGGGGGGCAGCGAAGGGGUGCCCCCAGAUGUGUGCCUGCCUUUCUCGUGCAGUGAGUCAAGUGCUGUAGAUGCCAGGGGCCCCAGCUUCCUCAUGACAGUGGCCAGGCCGGUGGGGGAGCCCCUGGUGUCCCCUCCAUUUUCUUAGUGACACAGUGGGCAAGACCUGUCCCUCUGCCACUGCAGGGACGCCUGUGUUUCUCAAGUGCACAGGGCUGAGUUCCAACUCACUGCCUCCCGGAGCCUCCAGGGUCCCAGACCCCCUUCCGGUCUUACGCGCAGGUCGUCCCUGGUUCGCCCUCUGUCAGGACUGGGCAGGACAGUGCGGCGGGACACUUGGGACAAAUAGUUAGCAGGCCGAUCCUGGAGGGCCUGGCUCCUGCCCUCCUCAGUUACCUGCCUUGCCGUUGGCCCACGCGGACCCUGAGCCAACCGGCCCCUUUCUGAAGCCCAAACCAGGUCCUGGGAGCCGUGGACAAGUCUGUCCCCUGGACAGACUGCAGACCCAAGCUCUGCUUCUGGGCGGCCCCAAACGGCCGUAGUCAUCCUUUGUUUCUGCUUCUUCGCCCACCUUGCUGAAUGUCCGUCAGUCUCCAGAGAAGUCUCCGUGCCUUCCCCAGUUCCACCAUCCUGCCCAAUGACACGUCUGCAGGUGACACGCUGGCACGUUGUUAACAGGAACAGAGUUGACACCAACUUUUACUCUCCUCUCUCCUCCUCCGAAUCACCUGCCUUUCUCUCCCGGCCUUGAGGGGCGGUGCACCCCUCUACUGCUGAGGUCAGUCUGUCCUGGGUCCUUUCACCAUCAUCGUCAUCUAUGGUCAGGUCAUUUCCCACCCACUCAGUUUUUAUUCUUCUCUUGGUCGACACGCGUGUCCACAUUCUUCCAGCUGGAAAACCGGCCACAAGGACCGGGGAGGGCGUCCCAAAGCCCCUGAGCGCCCGGCGCCUCCUUACCCUGCGAUCCGGCUUCGGAGACCACACUACCGCGUGAACCGUGUGGCGGACGGACGGCAGGUUCUAAGGAGGAGGUUCACGCAGGAAGUGUGCGUGGGUGCGCGGGACGCCCCUCAGAACACACGCGCGUGCACCCCGAAGAUGACACCCAGGCCGCUGACCCAGGAGCAGCUUCUACUGCCUUCCUUGUGCCCUCGUCCGUUUCCCGUACUUUCCCCGAGCAACACGUGAACACACGGCGACUUUUAGAGAGCACUGAGCUAAGAGCUGUAGUGCGUUGGCUCAUUUAACUUUUCCAGCUGCUCUGAGGAUUGUCCCCUUAGGACCCCUGUCUUAUAGACAAGGGAGCUGAUGCCUUGAGCGCCCGAGAGGCCUCCGGAGCCGACCGGCCCCCCCAGUGCUCUCACACCUGUGGCUGUGAAGCGGGAGCGGGUCCCCAUGGCCAGGGCUGGCGGGACGUACACCCGGAAGAAUUGAAGGAGACGGGAUGGGCGGCAGCAGAAGGUGGGCGAAGAGCCCUGAGCAGGGAGAGCCCUCACACGGACCCAUCACUGGAAGUGGGCGGCGUCUAGGGGGCCUUCGUAAGCUUGCGGGGCAGGUCCCUCCAGGCGAGGCGACUCUGGGAGGCGUCCUCAGCUGUAGGCUGUCACCACCCUGGAGGGGUGAGGGGUGAGGGGCUUCAGUUCCGAGGGGGAUCUGGAUGGCCCGCUGUGCGCCCACGACAAACACCCACGGACUCUCGAGGGCACAUUCAAAUCUCACUUCCCCCAGGGAGCGUUCCUCGAUUACCCUGAUCAGGAUGGGCCCUAACGACCCCACAAAAAUACCUUGUGCCCGCUGGGUGAUUACCUUCUCCCUUCCCCCCGUCGGGCCCUGGUGAUCUCCAAUCUGUCUUCUCUCCUGGACAUCGCCUACAAGAAGAACCACGGUACGUGUCCUUCUGUGCCUGGCCUCUUUCACUGGGCAGAGUUUGUCAAGGUUUGUUAGCAUUGCAUUUUUGGGUCUCCCCCCAAAUUUAUGUGUUGAACCCUUAACCCCCGGUGUGAUGGUAUGAGGAGGUGGGGCACUGGGAGGUGAUUGGGUCAUGAGGGGGAUCGGUGCCCUCAUAAACCACGGGGAGCCAUGGGAUUUCUGUCCGCCUGGGGAGCACACCGCGAGGAGGCAUCAUCUACAGGCCAGGAAGAUGGUCUUCACCAGAUCCGGGCUCUGCCGGCACGUCCCUAUCAGACUUCCAGCCCCCAGAACUGUGACAGAUACGUGUCUGUUUGUUCAAGCUGCCGUGCCUGGGAUACUGUGCUAGGGACGCCUGAGUAGAUUAAGCAGGUACAUCCCGGGAAGCGGUUCGGGACCUGGGAGCAGCUACAGAUGCACAGCUACCUUCAGUAGCAAGAGUGAUGGUUAUCGUAUAAAAUUCAUCAUCCAGGAGCACCUGGGUGGCUCCCUCAGUUGAGCGUCCGACUCUUGGUUUUGGCUCAGGCUAGGAUCUCGAGGUCCGUGGGUUCGAGCCCUGCGUCGGGCUCUGUGCCGACAGCUCAGAGCCUGGAGCCUGCUUCGGAUUCUGCGCCUCCCUCUCUCUCUGUCCCUCCCCCGCUCACACUCUGUGUCUCUCUCUCUCUCUCUCUCUCAAAAAUAAAUAAACAUUAAAAAAAUAAAACAAAAUUCUUAAUCUGUACCUCGGCCAUCAAAAGGACAAAGCCCAGAUGAUACGCUGCAUAAAAUAAUCACCACCCUUGUUGCUGAAGAGAAUUGUAUGUUCACACCUGCUCCCUGGCCCCACACUGUGCCCUUGGCUGUCAGAUCCUUGGCUCUUGGGAUCUCUCACCUUGGCUCUUGAGAUCAUCUCUCCUUGGCUCUUGGGAUCUCUCUUGGGAUCCCAAUAUUUUAGGGAAAAUAUUGAAAAACAGGUAGCAGUAACCAUUUCAAUAUUUUAGUGUAUGUAUUUCUUUUAUUUCAAUUGUUUGUUAAGUUUCAAGCGUGCAAUAUAGUGGUUCCACAGUGUUUCUCAGUGCCAGUCACGAUAGGGGUAUGCUUAGUCCCCAUCACCCAUUUCACUCACCAUAUGUCUUAUUUUUAAGGAAAUAUAUACAUCCACAUGAUUUGUCAUAAAGUUCAGCUCCCACACAUCCUGAGGAGUUUUAUAGCAUCCGAACUCUUUUCGAUACUCAUGGGAUAAAGCCAUCGUCAGCUCGGUCUUAUUGUCAAAUAUCCUUUCUUUCUCUACUACAGGAAAUGUGUUUCUUUAUAAAAGGUCAGUUGAGGAAAACUCUCACUUAUUCUCGUCCUUCUGAUGAAAUUUUCCAGUUCAGAGUCCGCUGCACCCGCACCAGAAUGCCGUAUGCUUAUUAGCUCAUCGAGUACCUUGAGGCUAUGAUUAGGCACCUGCACCCCGUUUCUUAAAACCUCUGCCUUCAAAAGUUACAGGCAGAAGACAGAGGACCUGCUUCUGUGGCUGAGCUAUGUGACUCACUGUGCCCCUGGGCCUUGAGAGAAUCUGCACCCAUGAAUCGGGGAUGCGGUUGGUGUUUCUAGAAGGUCACAGGACAUGGUUGUUCUUCAAGAUUUGGGAGCGGGGGCAGGAAUCACUCUGAGUCUCGUGGGGGGUCCUGGCUCUUCUGACCACUUGUGCUGGGGGGUGCUGGCCCGUGGGGCAACCGGCUGAAACCACAGCAGCCUGGAGACCGAGGUCCAAGCAGGGGGACAGCAGAGGCUGUCCGAGGAGGAAGGGCCUCCCGUGUGCUUCUAGACCUGGCUGUCGUGGGGCGAGGGCCACGACGUCAGGCCUGUAGCAGGCCAGCUGGCAGAGGUCCCCAGCUGCCACCCGAGUCUUACCUCGUUCUGGUCUGGGGGACACUGCUUGUCGUGUCCUGACGUGUUUGGAUCUGUUAAGAGGGAACCUUUUUUCUCACAAGACACAAGAACAAAGCGUGGGAUUAGUUUUACGUGAACUUGGAUGUUCCCAUUUAGCUGAUAGGAAAAGCACGGCGUAGCGGCUAGAAACAGUGCUGGCUCGCCCGCUCGGCACCUGUUAGUAGCCCUGCUGGGCCUCAGUCUCUCCAUCUGAACACAGGGACGACGAGGGUGCCGAGGCACCCAGGUCCACGAGCCUGGUGUGAGGCUUAAGCCAGAUAAUGUUUUUAAGGCACUCGGGACAAUGCCCAGCACAACGUAAG